GUAACGAUAAUUAGUGUAGUAAGGAGGCCCCCCUGUCCUCGAAUUCAAGGAACCUUCCCUCACCUUCUCCCCUCUGUACCUAACACUGGACGAGAAAGGUUGCUGAAAUUGCUUAUUUUAAAGUUGACACAGUCACAAGGUUUGUAACUUUGCUGGGGCUAACAAAAGAAAAACUCAGAUGUGGGUUGUCAACUAGAAGAGGCACGAAGGAACCAGUAUAAAGCUCUCUCUUUAUAUAUCCUUUCUAUUUUUUUUUUCUCAAUAUUUGUUUAAAUGUGCUUUAAUCUAUGUACUUUAUAAUAAACGAUACGAAAAAAAAAAUUUAUGCAAAACUUUUCCAAACAUUUUAUAGCUUUAAAUUCACUUAACUUUUAUAGAACUUAUCAUAUUCAAUUUAUCUAACAGUUGAGAUGUAUAGGUUAAUUGUAACUUAUAACAGAGACUUGAGUUAUUUUAUUUUGUUAUUUUUUUUAGGCUUAAAUAUUUUUUUCAUCUAUUAUAAAUAUCUAAUUUUUGUGUUUAUUUUUUAAUAAAUUUUUAUUUUGCACUGAAUCUCUAAUAAAAUAACAAUUUGAUUUAUUGUCAUCGACAUUUAUUUUUAAUUCUUAAUAAAUUAGUGAAUUUUAUGUUUGUUCCUUGAUAAAUUUUUUUAAUUUAUUAUUAGUUGGGAUUAAAAUAAAAUUCAUUAAUUUACUAAAGAUUCAAAUAAAAUAUCAAUAACCAAAAAGAAAAAUAUUAUUUUAUUAGAAACUCAACACAAAAAGAAUUAUUAGGAAAUAAAUACAAAAAUAAAAUAUUUAUUAGAUAUCGAUAAAAAAAAACAUAUUUGGGUCUUCUUCUUAUAAAUAUUUACGAAAAUACUUAUCUAAACAAUUAGUUGUUCUAUGGCGGCCUGCUGUACUGACCCUCUCUCUCAUGUUCGUAAGCUGAGUUGUUAGUUUGAGUUGCACAAUGAGUUCUGAAACUUGUUUUUAAGGAUAGAAAUACCAGCUUCUUAUCUUUAGUUUCGAAUUGCUCUUACUUAAUAAAUUACCCAUGUUAAAGUUUGUUGCCAGACUGCUAAUUUGAGGCGAACAAUUUGUAAUUUUUUGUUAAAAUGUGGUAUAAUAAACAACAAUAUAUCAUUUAACUUUUGUAUGUAAGGACAAUUUCUGAAUUUAUGCUUCUUAGCUAUAAUUUUUAGUUUUUUUUUACUGUAAUUCUUUCAAAUCAAAUCUCAAAUUUCUAAUCUUUAUAUAUAAAAAGAAGGUAAGUGAGGGUAGUUUUGAAAAAAAAAAACAAAUUAAAGGAAAUAGGUGGGAUAGUUUGGAAAAAAUAAUUUUUUAUUAUAAACUGUAAAAAAAGUUCUUUGCAAUCAUUAGCUGAAAAAGAAUCGUUUUAAAAUUAAUGAGCUGAUUAAAAAAAAAUAAACAUUUUAAAACCGUUGUCAUUGAUAGUGAUUAUCAAUUAAUGGAAAAAAAAACAUCAUGGAUAAAAUUAAAGUAUGAAUAAAAUUAUGUUAUAAAAUUAAUGUGUAUUAAAAAUGUUUCCUUUUCAAUUAAUAUGUAUAAAAUUAAUGGAUAUGAUUUUACUUUCAUAUUUCUUUUAAUUAUCUCUACCUCUAUAGCAUAGAACCAUUGUCAUUUUGCUUUUUCCAUCCACUCAAUUUUGAUCCUGCUGCGAUACAAUGGAAAUUGCAAGAACAUCCUUUUGAAGAAUAAAAUUACACUAAAUUGUACCUAUACAUGUCUCUCGGAUCUGUAAGUAUUUUUUAUAAAAUCAAGUUUUUUUUCCAGGAUUUGUAAGUAUUUUUUAUAAAAUUAAGUUUUUUAUUUUAAAUAUUGCUUGUGAUAUUAAAAUCAAAUGCUUGCCAUACGGUUGAGCCCAUUGAGCUAUGCAAGAAGAAUGAGUGUGACAAGAUGAAAUUAAAGGUGUAAACUUAUAUAUGAAAAUGAUUGGAGUAUUGAUUAAUAUUGAUUAUUUUAUUCUAGCUCCAUUUGCAAUUCAAUACUUCCAACUAAUAAAGCUCUGUUUGUUUGAGUUGCAAGUCCUGAAAUUCAAAUUCAACGCCAAAUAUUUCUAGUUAAGAUGAGAAUAUUAAACUAUAAUCUUAGUUUUAGCUACUCUCUCUUUCGUAAGUUAGUACAUAUAUACCUCGGGGCUCUUUAAUUUUAUUUUCAUGAUUAGGUUAUAGUACCAUCAUGUGGUAUUCAUUUGUUCAUGUAGAUAAGUAAUCUUAUUUUGGCUUAAAUUAACAGCAAAAACCUUACAAAUUAAGGGUAUGAGCAAGCACUAAAAAUGGCUUCAAUCAUUGGGUUAGCAAUGUAUAUUCCUAUUUUAUCUAUUAUUUCUUCUACGAAAAGCUGCAAGAGAUUGUUAGAAGGAAAAUUUGAUGUCACAUGUAAAAUUUUUGUCUCUAUGAUAGUUAGUUUUAUUAGGUUUUUUUAUCGGCAACCUUAUUUCCAUUUUAUUUAAGGUUUGAAAUAUGAAAGAUCACACUAGAUGGGAGGGAUUGAAUAGUGUGUUAAUCAAAGGUAUAAGCUUUUUACUCAAUAGAAGAUAGGAUAAAUAGUGGUAUAAAAGAUAUGAACGGUGUCAUCAAGUGAUUGAAAAAUAGUUUCUCCUAAAACAAUGGAUUGUCCUCUAGUGAGUGAUAAAGUGCGUCAAAAAGGACUUAAAGAAAUACAAGUUAAAGCUUAAGAGAGAAGUAGAAAUACUCAGUUUAUAUUGGUUCAAUCAAAUUGAGCAACAUCCAAUUCUCCUUCACAAACUGAAAAAGGUUGCACUAAUCAGAGUGAUUACAAAACAAGUAUUCUAACUCGCCACUCCUGUCUAUACAAGUAUUCUCAAGGCCACUUCUGGACACUUCUUAGAUUCCCCCUGAAUCUAAGAACUCACAAGUCUUUUUUUGUCACUAAGUCACUCCUGACUUUUACAAACAGAUUAUUUGAUGGAAUAAAAAGACUCCCACACUCAAAAAGUGGACAAACAAUAAGCUCGAAUACACAAGAUAACUUUGCUAAGCAAUGGAUUGAACUAUUUCUAGUGCUAAGAUUAUCGUCCAAUGACUACUAAGGAAUGUUGUUUUCACUUUGUUACUUCUUUCUCGUAUUUCACUUCUCUGCUUCACUUCCAUGAUUUGAGUCCCUAUUUAUAGACUUCAGUCAAGUGUCUGUUGUGGAAUUUGUGCCUUCUUUCUUGAUAUGAUCGUUGUCUCAUAUCUUGCUGCAGGGCCAUGUGAAGCGCUUUGGUUGGAGAGAUAAAAAGCAAAAUACAGAUAGUUGAUGUUGUCUUCUGCCAUGUCGAAAGUGACCUUUGCAAAUAUACCUUUGUUCAUUCCUUGGUUUUUGUCCUUGCCUUAAAUUUAAAUGUUAGCAUUUCAAACAUAAGAGAGGCAAAAAGAAACAGAC
rnacentral:lncRNA from 1 species